rnacentral:rRNA from 1 species
UGCCAGACUCCUACGGGAGGCAGCAGUGAGGAAUAUUGGUCAAUGGCCGAGAGGCUGAACCAGCCAAGCCGCGUGAGGGAGGAAGGUACAGAGUAUCGUAAACCUCUUUUGUCAGGGAACAAAGACUGGGACGCGUCCCCGGAUGAGUGUACCUGAAGAAAAAGCAUCGGCUAACUCCGUGCCAGCAGCCGCGGUAAUACGGAGGAUGCGAGCGUUAUCCGGAUCUAUUGGGUUUAAAGGGUGCGCAGGCGGUGUGUUAAGUCGGCGGCAAAAGCCCGAGGCCCACCCCCGGCCCGCCGUUGAAACUGGCAGUCUCGAGUUGGAGAGAAGUAUGCGGAAUGCGCGGUGUAGCGGUGAAAUGCAUAGAUAUCGCGCAGAACUCCGAUUGCGAAGGCAGCAUGCCGGCUCCACACUGACGCUGAGGCACGAAAGCGUGGGUAUCGAACAGGAUUAGAUACCCGAGUAUAA